UCAUUCAACCACAUUGUUGCCUUUCCAGACAAAGACAACGGAAACAAACUCAACCAGAUCAUAUUCUGGCACACACCUAGAUUGUCAAAGGAUUUGCAAACGGUGAUAAAUUUUACCAAAUUCAUGUUCGGAUCAUCACCAGGCAAGCCUCCAAAUAACCCAUUCAUAUUCAGGAGUUGGAUCAUGCUACUUGUUAUGCUAAAUUUUACACCUGGUGCCAAUGGGC
rnacentral:lncRNA from 1 species